GAGAGGAGGUGCAUGGCCGUCGUCAGUUCGUACUGUGAAGCAUCCUGUUAAGUCAGGCAACGAGCGAGACCCACGCCAACAGUUGCCAGCAUGUCCUCCGGGAUGAUGGGGACACUGUUGGGACCGCUCUGCUAAAGAGGAGGAAGGGAAUGGGCAACGGUAGGUCAGCAUGCCCCGAAUUAUCCGGGCUACACGCGGGCUACAAUGGUCAGGACAAUGGGUAUCGACACCGGAGAGGUGGAGGCAAUCUCCUAAACCUGUCCUUAGUUCGGAUUGUGGGCUGCAACUCGCCCACAUGAAGCUGGAAUCCGUAGUAAUCGCGUUUCAAAAUAGCGCGGUGAAUAUGUCCCUGGCUCCUU
rnacentral:rRNA from 1 species